rnacentral:rRNA from 1 species
UACGAAGGGAUCUAGCGUUGUUCGGAUUUACUGGGCGUAAAGGGCGCGUAGGCGGUUAUGCAAGUCAGAUGUGAAAGCCCCGGGCUUAACCCGGGAAUUGCAUUUGAAACUGCAUGGCUUGAGUAUGGGAGAGGUAAGUAGAAGUCCCAGUGUAGAGGUGAAAUUCGUAGAUAUUGGGAAGAAUACCAGUGGCGAAGGCGGCUUACUGGACCAUAACUGACGCUGAGGCGCGAAAGCGUGGGGAGCAAACAGG